CCGGUUGGUCAGGUGAUCGCGGCGCGGUUAACUCCGCGUCGAGGAAAGUCCGCACUCCAUAGGGCAGCAUGCCGGGUAACACCCGGAGCGGGGAACCGCUGGACAGGGCCACAGAAACAUACCGCUGCAAAGCAGUAAGGGUGAAAAGGUGGUGUAAAAGACCACCGGCGCAGCAGUAAUGCUGCGGCCAGGCAACCCCCAUGUGGAGCAAGAUCAAGCAGGGACAAUGCCGGCCUUUGAGCCGGCGGGAGAUGACCCGUCUUCCCCAAAGUCCCGGGUAGAUCGCACGAGCGAAACAGUAAUGUUCCGCCUAGAGAGAUGAUCACCGCGACAGAAGCCGUCCCAUUGGGAUACCCUUCUGUUGAACAGAAUGCGGCUUAUCGACCGGCCGGGGAA
rnacentral:RNase_P_RNA from 1 species